rnacentral:rRNA from 1 species
UACGUAGGGGGCGAGCGUUAUUCGGAUUUACUGGGCGUAAAGCGCGUGUAGGCGGCUGGUUAAGCGUGAUGUGAAAUCUCCGGGCUCAACCCGGAAACUGCAUUGCGAACUGGCCUGGCUGGAGUGCAGGAGAGGGUAGUGGAAUUCCCGGUGCAGCGGUGAAAUGCGUAGAUAUCGGGAGGAACACCAGUGGCGAAGGCGACUACCUGGCCUGUAACUGACGCUGAGACGCGAAAGCGUGGGGAGCAAACCGG